rnacentral:lncRNA from 1 species
AUGGGUGAUGUUGAGAAAGGCAGAAGACUUUUGUUCAGAGUGUGCUCAGUGCCACAUGGACCCAAUCUUCAUGGCCUCUUUGGAAAACAGAUGAGUUCACUGGAUUCUCUCUCACAGACAUUAGUAAGAACAAAGGCAUCAUCUGGGGGGAGGAGACACUGAUGAACUAUUCGGAGAUUCUCAAGAAAUAUACCUUAAACAAAAAUGAUCUUCACAGGCAUUAAGAAGGAGACAGAAAGGACAGACCUGAUAGCUUAUCUCAAAA